GACGUAGGGCGCGAGCGUUGUCCGGAUUUAUUGGGCGUAAAGAGCUCGUAGGCGGCUUGUUGCGUCGAAUGUGAAAACCCGAGGCUCAACUUCGGGCUUGCAUUCGAUACGGGCAGGCUAGAGUUCGGUAGGGGAGACUGGAAUUCCUGGUGUAGCGGUGAAAUGCGCAGAUAUCAGGAGGAACACCGGUGGCGAAGGCGGCUUGCUGGGCCUUACCUGACGCUGAGGAGCGAAAGCGUGGGGAGCGAACAGG
rnacentral:rRNA from 1 species